rnacentral:lncRNA from 1 species
AAGCUAUCUGGAAUGAGUUUACAAGCAUUCAUGAGACAGAGGCAGCCUAACUCGUUAGCUGGUGAGUGGGGUGAAGCCUCCGACCCUCCACAGCUCCGGACCGAAGGCACCGAUGUCCCCAUGGUCAUCAUGCUGAAAGUGCACCAUACACGUGAAAGGACACGGGAUGCGCUCGUUCGAAAGGACCGGUGCUGCCUCGACUUGAUAAAAGAUGCCAGGAAGAAGAACCUGAGAGGAGCUUAGUAAACAGAUGAGCCGGUCCCAGCAGGAUGCCCGCUUCCUUGUUCACCUUGAGGGACCAGCAUGUCAUCUCAUCUCCAAACCGAAGAGCCCUUGAGAGCAAGACUGAGACACCUGCGUGUCCUUCUGGGCCUUGGAGACAGCCGUGAAUGGGGGCAAGGGGUGGUGGACCCAGGAAAGCAGGAGCAGAUUCUCAUCCCCUAAGGGUCUGGCACCCCCUAGCCCAUGUCCUGGUUGACACAGCCAAGGCCACCUAUACUUGACCAGGAUCCACCAGCCAAAGCCAAGUGCAUGGGGUCAAGGUCCCCGUGGAGUCGUGAGGUGCCUUAGAGUCAGGAGGGUCUUCCAUUCCUGGGCACGAGGUGGCCACAGAGGUGACAGAAAUGAAGCCCAGAGGUUGGGAAGAUGCAAGCAAGCCGUGCGUCUGAGCAGGAACCUUGGCUGGUCCCCAGCCUCUGCCGAGGGUGAUGGGUACCAGUCUCCUCCUCCCCCCUCCACGAGUGCUCCCCUCAGCCCUCUCUCCUCUAGCGCUCAGGAAACUCUGCGCCCCCAGGCCCCUUGCACUUAGAUGGGGUGCUUGGCUACUCCUGGAUACCAGGCUGUGAGAGGAAUUGUGUGCCACCUCUGGGUGGGGGCAUGUGUGUGUGUGUGUGUGUGUGUGCUCUCCACAGGCAUCCCCACCCUGCUGUGAAGGCAAAGGGGACCUCCUAUGGAGACAGCUGAGUCAGGACACGGGAGCAGCCUGCAGGGCUGGGUCCUUGCAUGGGGACAGCUAGGUCCCCGCAUGGGGACAGCUGCCCAGUGAAGUCACAUGCCCGGUAAAGUCACAACAUUUUGCAGGCGUGAAAAAUAAACUUUUGCAGUUAAAGCAACUGAGAUUUGGGGAGAUGUUUGUUGCCGCAGCAGAGCCCAGCCCAGCCCAACUAAUACACGUCGGUGGAGACAGGACCACCGUCCAAGGCCAGGCUCCCAGCCCCAGGUGCCUUAUCCACCAAAGGGAGGCUGUGAGGAUGAAGCGAGGCCAUGCUUGGGGAGAGCGUGGCCUGGUGCUAAGCCAAGGUCAGACAAGUGCGUGACAGCCAUUGUGUCUCCAAAGCCCCGGCUCUGGACGCUCAGGCGCACAGGCCAGUGUCCUGGCCAUCGUCAGCAUCUGUGCGCAGGAAGGAAAGACCGAGAGAGCUCCCAGGCCAGAUGGGGGCCAGGUUUGGGGAGAGCCUCGGGAGGGAGGCCGCAGGCCAAGUCCUGCGCCAGCCCCGGCGCUCAACAGCAGUCCCGAGGACUGUCAGCCGUCAUUGUCAUAUUCCCGUAAAUGCUGCGCAGAGUGAAAGGAAAGAAUUUCAAAUAACUGGGACCAGUAUUUAAUUAUUGUGAUUUAUUAACACCAGCUACACAGAGCAGGGCCGUGGACAUGACAUCCCUCGUUCCCCAGCGAGUCUGGGAGUCUGGUUGGCCUCCUGCCGCCUCCUGCACAACUCUUUUCAUUAUCAUCAUCCUGAUUAUUUACAACAGCCCGGCCGCUCAGGAGCAGGGCGAUCGCCGUCAAGUUCACAGCAAGUUCAAGGAUCGGCCAGGAGGCCUUGGGAGCAGGGGCGAAAAUCAGAGAAGGCCUGGCGGUUGGGAAAAGGGGACUGGUGGCCGGAGGGGCUCCAGGGCAGGAGGGUAAACAUGCAAUCAGGACUAAGGGGGGUGUUUAGGGGGUGGAAGGGGGUCUACUUGCAGAAAGGUGGGCUGGAGCGACCGCUCCUCCUCUGUCAUCUCUUCCCACACCCUCCUCUUCCCACUCAAUCCUUGUGUUCGUAGAACAGUCAUGUUUUGAGCAGCCGGCAGAACCACCCCCCACAUGGGGAGAACGGUUUGUUUGGUGGUUACAGCUGCUCUUCUGCGAGGCUUUGUCUGAUAUCUCUCCCACACCAUGCUGCUAUUCCUCAUUGACACAACUCUGCGAUUCCAGUGUUGGUCCCUGUUUUACAGGGGAGAACACUGAGCCUCAGAAACUUGGCCCAGCGUCGCGGAGCUUAUGGGAAGCACCCAGGACCCAUGUCUGUCUCACCAUCUGUACUUUGCAUAGUUAUCUCUUAUUUGAAUGGGAUUCCGUUUUGUUGGUUGGUACAAGCUUUUGAAAUGGGCCUUCCUUACCCCCAUCUCUGUGCCUGGAGAGAGAAAAGGUUAAGAAUUUCAGCCCUAAACACAGUGACUGAAGAGUAGGAAGACGUUAGGACUGGAGUUCCCAUCGUGGCACAGCGGAAACAAAUCUGACUAGGAACCAUGAGGUUGUGGGUUCGAUCCCUGGCCUCGAUCACUGGGUUAAGGAUCCGGCGUUGCUGUGAGCUGUGGUGUAGGUCACAGACGGGGCUCAGAUGUGACAUUGCUGUGACUCUGGCGUAGGCCAGCAGCCACAGCUGCGAUGAGACCCCUAGCCUGGAAACCUCCCCAUGCCGCAGGUGUGGCCCUAAAAAAAG